GCGCUGUGGUCCCACCCGAUCCCAUCCCGAACUCGGAAGUGAAACACAGCUGCGCCGAUGGUAGUGUGGUCCAAACCAUGCAAGAGUAGGUCAUCGCCAGGG
rnacentral:rRNA from 2 species